AUGCCCAGUCCCGCCGUCUCCAUGGCGACGGCUACCUCACCGCGGAGGCGAGGAGAGCUGCAGGGGAACCAAGGGAGAGAACUUCUGCUUCAGCCCAUCUGGUUCAUCUCUACCCUGGGAUCAGGGCUGGCAAACCCCUCUGCUGGACUCCCUGCACAGCCCGCCCCCUCCACCAGGCUCUCUGAUUCCUGCCCUCCUGCCAGGGUGAGUACCCCAACGUGGGCGCUGUGCUGCACCAUCCAGGUCACCUGUAGGCCUGAAGGACUUAGGGUACCCCAGAGCUGGGAGUACAGGCUUCAGACAGAAGGACCCUCAGCUGUCAGCCCUCUCUGGGGAUCACCUCAACUGAAGAAAGUAAAAUAUCUUGGCCAAAGCCAAGAACAUCACUUGUUUAAAGCAUCACUCUGGCUACGGGGAGGAGAAUGGAUUCACCACAUGCACCCCCUUUGGCACAUGUUAGCCCUUUGGCCCAAUUGCUAGGUUUUAACCUCCAUUUGUGUGAGAUAACUAAUUUGCCACUUGAGGUUGGAACCCAGCCCUUGGACUGUUUGGAUCCUUGCACAGCCUUGCACUGACUGUGUGUGUGAGUCACUCGGUCGUGUCCAACUCUUUGAGACCCCAUGGACUGCAGCCUGCCUCUGUCCAUGGAGUUCUCCAGGCAAGAAUACUGGAGUGGGUUGCCCUUCUCCCUGACCCAGGGGAUCUUCCCUACCCAGGGAUCGCACUGCAGUCGGAUUCUUUACCUUCUGAGCCACCAGGGAAGCCUUGCACCGAGUAAAUGCUCAAUGAACAUUUAUGGCUCACAAUCUGCUGAUACUUCUGUUUCUGCAGUGAUCUCUGGGAGUCUUGCUUCUCAAACCAGCAUCAGCACCACUUGGGAGCUUGUAGGAAAUAUAGAAUCCCAGGCCCCACACAGACCUCCUCAAUCAGAAUCUGUGGUGUAAUAAGGUCUCCCAGAAAUUUGGAUAUGUGGGAAAGCUUGAGAAGCACUUCUGAUGAGUAGAAUAACUAGAGGAAGUGUGGGAAGUGGGAAGUGAGCCAGGGGGCAAGCCCAGAUGUAUAUAGAGGGCUCACUGCAGGGAAGGGAGGUGUUAUCCCUUAAGAGUGCUGCUCACCCUGAGUCACAGAGUCUGAGAAGAAAAGGGACCAGUAAUAAAGCUCUUAGUGGGUGCUUUCUAUGUCCCA
rnacentral:lncRNA from 1 species